UACGGGGGGGGCAAGCGUUGUUCGGAAUUACUGGGCGUAAAGGGCUCGUAGGCGGCCAACUAAGUCGGAUGUGAAAUCCCCAGGCUAACCUGGGAACUGCCUUCGAUACUGGCGAUCUUCGAGUCCGGGAGAGGUGAGUGGAACUCCGAGUGUAGAGGUGAAAUUCGUAGAUAUUCGCAAGAACACCAGUGGCGAAGGCGGCUCACUGGCCCGAUACUGACGCUGAGGCACGAAAAGCGUGGGGAGCAAACAGG
rnacentral:rRNA from 1 species